AAUCAACGCUGGCGGCGUGCCUCAGACAUGCAAGUCGAACGAUUAAAGCUCUCUUCGGAGAGUGCAUAGAGUGGCGCACGGGUGAGUAACACGUAAGUAAUCUACCUUCGAGUGGGGAAUAACGUCCGGAAACGGACGCUAAUACCGCAUAAUGCAGCGGCAUCGCAAGAUGACAGUUGUUAAAGAUUUAUCGCUUGAAGAGGAGCUUGCGGCAGAUUAGCUAGUUGGUAAGGUAAUGGCUUACCAAGGCUACGAUCUGUAACCGGUCUUAGAGGACGGUCGGUCGCACUGACACUGAAUAACGGGUCAGACUCCUACGGGAGGCAGCAGUCGGGAAUGUUGGGCAAUGGGCGAAAGCCUGACCCAGCAACGCCGCGUGAAGGAUGAAGUAUUUCGGUAUGUAAACUUCGAAAGAAUGGGAAGAAUAAAUGACGGUACCAUUUAUAAGGUCCGGCUAACUACGUGCCAGCCGCCGCCGUAACAC
rnacentral:rRNA from 1 species